GUUGCUCCCGGCACAGGUGCAAGGUUGUCUUCCAGGUGGCUGGUUGUGGGCAGAAAUAUACCCCUUUUCAUAAGAAAAUCUACAAAGAGUAUUUAUAAGAAAUUGGUGCAUGGCUGUGCUUCAACUCCUCAGUGCAUGAUAUGAAAGAAAAUCAGAUGAGGUUGCAAGAAAUAAAUUUUGUGUUAGACAUCAGAGACCAUUUCUUGACAGGAAAAGUUGUUUGUGAUGUGUGCAGCAUGGUUUCUCAAGAUCUGGCUGUAUAAACAAUGGACAGGGCUGAGAACCAGGAAGUGCAGUGUCUCUGGGAUCUAUGCUUGAUGCCUCUAACUCUGCUUAGCACUGAGUAUGUAGGAUAGUCCCCAUGUAUUGACAACUCAUAUUAAACUGUAUAUGGAAGCACAAACAUUGAAGAAUAGCCAAACAUUCUUGAAGAAAAGAAACAAAUGGAGAGAACUUGUCCUUCAAAUAUCAUUUACUAUAAUAAAGCUGUAGUAAUUAAGAAGGCAUGGUUUUGGCACAGGGAUAAGCACUCAAACCAAUGAGAGAAAAUGGAAUUCUAAAAUAUGAAAAUUAUUCAAACGGGGCUGGCAUUCCUGAUUGAUGGAAAGCACAGACUAGUCAAUUAAUGCAAUAGUUGGUCAUUCAUAUGAGGAAAAAAUGAAAUUAGGUUAGCUUAUACCAUACAAAAUUCAAUCACAAAUGGAUUAAAAACCUAUAAACAAACAAAAAACUCUAUUAAAUAUUUAGAAGACACUAUGUGAGAAUAUUUUUAAAACUUGAGAUAAAUGAUUCCUUAAGGUACAAAACAGCAAAAAAUGACAACCUUUAUUAUAUAAAAAUUAAUUUGUGUUUUCCAGAAUCACAAAAAAGAAAAAAAGCAAGGUAAAAAUAGAGAAAAGAUAUUAGCAACAAAAAUUAGAUAAAAUACUAGUAUUUGGAGUAUCAAAUGGAUUCUGAGAAUCAAAGAGAAAAAAAUCAGUUUAAUAUAAUGAUAGAUAAGAGGAAUAAAUAGGAAUUUCAUAUGAGAGGAAGCACAAAUCUCAUAUAAACAUGUGAACAAGCCUUUAACAUCAUUAGUAGCCAGGGAAAAACAAGACCACACCCCAAAAAUUAAGAACAUAGACCAUUUCAUUCUCAUAAGAUGGUCAAUAGUCAAAAUUGUGCCAAAUAUAGAGCAAGGGAAGCUCCAGUCUCCUACUGGUGGGAGAGUAAAUUGAUACAAUCAUUUUGGAAAACAGUUUGACAUUACCUGCUACAGCUGAAAACAAACAUGUUCUAUAAACCAGGAAUUCUACCGUUAGAUAUUUAAUCCAUAAAAACUCAAAAGACAAAUGCACAAAGUUUACAGUUUUGUUUGUUUAAACAAAAAGAAAAAAAGGAAAACUGAAGCAAGUCAAAUGUUCUUCAGAAGUAGAAAGAACAUUUAAAUUGAAACAAAAUUUCACAAUGAACUGUGAUAGGGCAUUGAGUGAAUUACUACAGAGGAGGGGUGGGUAAACCAAAACCUACAGAGCAGUCAAAUGUUUUUAUAAAUAAAGUUUUAUUGGAGCACAAUCACAUCAAUUUGUUUAUGUAUUGUGUAUGGCUGCUUUCGUACUAUAAUAGAGUUGAGUAGGUGCAACAGAGACCGCAUGGCCUGCGAAGACUAAAAUAAUUACUAACUAGUCCUUUACAGAAAAAGUUUGCUGACUCAUAUUAAAGAUAAUUAAAAGGACUAAUAACAUUUUUUCAAAUCAACAUGAAUGAAUCUCAGAGUUAUUAUGAUUAUAUUGAAUAAUG
rnacentral:lncRNA from 10 species